rnacentral:rRNA from 1 species
UACAGAAGCAGCAAGCGUUAUUCAUCGUAACUGGGUAUAAAGCGUAUGUAGGCGGAUUUAAAAAUCUUAACAGAAGAAAAACUACAAUAGUAAGGUAGGAUUUUUGAGAUAUUAAAUCUUGAGUAGAGAUAGAGGAAUUCGGAAUUCCUACAGGAGUAUUACAAUAUUAAGAUAAUAGGAGGAACACAAAAGCGAAAGCAAGCAACCAUAUCUAAUACUGACGCUGAGAUACUAAAGUAUGGGGAGCAAAUAGG